GUUUGGACUUUGUCAUUUUUUUCAUGUUGUUUACUUCAGGGCUAGUUGGGGUAAUAGGACUUAGGCUUUCCAAAAACUAUACUGUAAAUUUUUUUUACAUGUAAAAUUUGUCCUAUAGAGGGGACUUGGAGAGAAAUUAUAGGUGGACUAAUCAUACUGUAAAUUUUUUUUACAUGUAAAAAUUGUCCUAUCAAGGGGACUUAUAGGUGGAAUAAUUAUACUGUAAUUUUUUUUUACAUGUAAAAUUGGCUUACUUCAGGGCUAGUUGGUAGAGAUGUUGCAGCCAAGGACCAUAUUUUUGUGUUACACUUUCAGCUUCCCAGCUAUACCAUCUUCAACACAAGGAGAAAGUCCCCG
rnacentral:misc_RNA from 1 species